rnacentral:rRNA from 1 species
AUUGAACGCUGGCGGCAUGCUUUACACAUGCAAGUCGAACGGCAGCGCGGGCUUCGGCCUGGCGGCGAGUGGCGAACGGGUGAGUAAUGCAUCGGAACGUGCCCAGUAGUGGGGGAUAGCCCGGCGAAAGCCGGAUUAAUACCUCAUACGACCUGAGGGUGAAAGCGGGGGACCGAAAGGCCUCGCGCUAUUGGAGCGGCCGAUGUCGGAUUAGCUAGUUGGUGGGGUAAAGGCUUACCAAGGCGACGAUCCGUAGCUGGUCUGAGAGGACGACCAGCCACACUGGGACUGAGACAAGGCCCAGACUCCUACGGGAGGCAGCAGUGGGGAAUUUUGGACAAUGGGGGCAACCCUGAUCCAGCCAUGCCGCGUGCGGGAAGAAGGCCUUCGGGUUGUAAACCGCUUUUGUUCGGGAAGAAAUCCUCUGGGCUAAUACCCCGGGGGGAUGACGGUACCGGAAGAAUAAGCACCGGCUAACUACGUG